rnacentral:rRNA from 1 species
UACGGAGGAUGCGAGCGUUAUCCGGAUUUAUUGGGUUUAAAGGGAGCGUAGGUGGAUUGUUAAGUCAGUUGUGAAAGUUUGCGGCUCAACCGUAAAAUUGCAGUUGAAACUGGAGGCCUUGAGUGCACACAGGGAUGCCGGAAUUCAUGGUGUAGCGGUGAAAUGCUUAGAUAUCACGAAGAACUCCGAUUGCGAAGGCAGCUCACUGGACUGCAACUGACACUGAGGCUCGAAAGUGUGGGUAUCAAACAGG